CUCUCCAUAGCUCAGCUGGAAGAGCGAAGGACUGUAAUCGUGUGAAGACAUCCUUAGGUCGCCCGUUCGAUCCGGGCUGGGGAGA
rnacentral:tRNA from 1 species